CGGAGCGGGAACGUUUCGGAUUUGAACUCAGCGCCUGUUCGAAAGUGUUAGUUCCGGUAAAAAUAUUUCAGUUCCAAGAUGGGUGAAAUGAAAGUGAACGAUAUCGGGAUGCAACAAACGGCCUAUAGCAGAAGAGUGCGGGGCAGGUUCGUAAAAAAUUAUUAUCAGUAAAAACGCCAAUAUUGUAUGUAUAAACGCAUUCUUAAUGUUAUGUCGG